GCAGGAAUCGCAGGGUGCAAGGCAGUGAAGGGAAUCAGCAGCACUGAAGAACCAACUUAGCGACAUGAAGACGAUGUUAGCCCUCAAAAAGGUCUCACCCAACAUAAGCCAGCUCAGAAGGUCCACGACACCGCGACCUAUCGCCAUCACUCCUCCCUCCAGCAGGGUCACACCCAAGCGAACACCACAGGGCAUCAUCAAC